rnacentral:misc_RNA from 1 species
CCGAGUUCUCGCCCUCGCGGGCGGACCUCCCACCCACUGUUAUCUUACCGUCGUUGCUUUGGCGAGCCGCCAGGCCUAGCCCGGCCGCCGGCCCCCGCCGGCGCGCGCCCGCCAGAGGCCCCCCAAACACUGAAUAUUGACGUCGUCCGAGUACUAUACAAUAGUCA